CGUAGGAAUAUUGAGGAGGGCUGCUCCUAGUACGAGAGGACCGGAGUGGACGAACCGCUAGUGUACCUGUUGUGUGGUCGCAUGCAUCGCAGGGUAGCUAUGUUCGGAAGUGAUAAGCCGCUGAACGCAUCUAAGCGCGAAGCACGCUCCAAGAUAAGUAUUCCCUAUGAGCCUCCCGGAAGACGACCGGGUAGAUAGGCGGCAGGUGUACGCAUGGUAACAUGUUUAGCCGAGCCGUACUAAUCAGGCCAUUGGCUUUGUUUA
rnacentral:rRNA from 1 species